CGGGGCGCCUGAGGGGCCCCGAAAUCAAGGCGGGCGCCGGAAGGUGUCCGGUNGCCAGCUCGUACCCAACUUGCUCUUUNGGAGGAUUUGGCUAUGAGGU
rnacentral:sRNA from 1 species